rnacentral:rRNA from 1 species
GACGAACGCUGGCGGCGUGCCUAAUACAUGCAAGUCGAGCGAAUGGAUUAAGAGCUUGCUCUUAUGAAGUUAGCGGCGGACGGGUGAGUAACACGUGGGUAACCUGCCCAUAAGACUGGGAUAACUCCGGGAAACCGGGGCUAAUACCGGAUAACAUUUUGAACCGCAUGGUUCGAAAUUGAAAGGCGGCUUCGGCUGUCACUUAUGGAUGGACCCGCGUCGCAUUAGCUAGGUGGUGAGGUAACGGCUCACCAAGGCAACGAUGCGUAGCCCACCUGAGAGGGUGAUCGGCCACACUGGGACUGAGACACGGCCCAGACUCCUACGGGAGGCAGCAGUAGGGAAUCUUCCGCAAUGGACGAAAGUCUGACGGAGCAACGCCGCGUGAGUGAUGAAGGCUUUCGGGUCGUAAAACUCUGUUGUUAGGGAAGAACAAGUGCUAGUUGAAUAAGCUGGCACCUUGACGGUACCUAACCAGAAAGCCACGGCUAACUACGUGCCAGCCGCCGCAGUAA